rnacentral:rRNA from 1 species
UACGUAGGGGGCAAGCGUUGUCCGGAAUCAUUGGGCGUAAAGCGCGCGUAGGCGGCCAGAUAAGUCCGGUGUGAAAGUCACAGGCUCAACCUGUGAAUGCCGCUGGAAACUGUCUGGCUUGAGUCCGGAAGGGGCGAGUGGAAUUCCUGGUGUAGCGGUGAAAUGCGCAGAUAUCAGGAGGAACACCAAAUGGCGAAGGCAGCUCGCUGGAACGGUACUGACGCUGAGGCGCGAAAGCGUGGGGAGCGAACAGG